AUGAAUACAAGCGCUACAACAUGCAUACAGAUUUUCAAAAUCGGACUAUAUCUGAGUUAUUUGCUUGCAUCAAAUCCCCUAAAAUGCUUGAAUAAUGCGGAACUGGUCAGAAUUCAGCACCCAUAUAUAUACUCAGGUAUGUAUGAAAAUUUUCUAGAACUGACAGACUGCAUAGCAGCAUGUUAUGCUCCCAAGUUGUUCAACAGAACACAACUAACUAAUCAGUACACAAGAGCAAUCAAGAAAAACCCGGUGCAAGGUAAGUACAGGAUAAACGUGCAAUGGGGCCAUGGGGAGCUACCCAAAAAACUUAGCAAGAUAUGGUCAUCGUGGAGAAGUCAUCAAAAUCGGCUAAAGAUCAUGUCUUAUUGUAUAAGUAGCUAA
rnacentral:rRNA from 1 species